UCUUUGGAUAAAUAUUCCUGUCAGUUCGGAUGCCUGUUCGGGGAAUAUGUCGUGUUUGGGAAUCUUUGAUAAAUUAGACAAGUUCACCUUCUUAAGCAACAGAUCUGAUUGCAGAUCCUUUAGGGUGAAGUUAUUAAAUCAGUCUCCUUAUGGUGUAGUGCUCAGCGGUCAGCCAUCAGAACCAGGUCCCUGACAGAAGACCUGGAGGAGACCCGUCAGCUGCUGAAAGAGGCUCAGGAGAGAGCUGGUCACACUCAGAGACGCUUCACAAAACUGACCAGUGAAAUCGAUGAUCUAAAGGGUCAUGUCAGAAGACUUGAAGACAAAAACAGAAAACUCGCCUUUGAAAGAUCACUGAUGGACGAGAGUCUGAACAACCUGAGGAGGGUCAACUCUGAGUUGAGGGUAUGAUGGAACGAGCAUCUGCGUGUUUGUAUGGAAGAGCCUGAUUUCCCUGUGUUUGCAGGCCGAA